GCUGAGUUCAAGGCCAUCCUGAGCUACAUGGCUGUCUGUGCCUACGGAAUAUGAGCUCCAAAAGUAGAGACGAGGGCAGGCUGGACCUCCAGUAAAUGGGUGGAAGGAGAAAGGGAGCAAGAGAUCUGUGAGGCUAUCGUAUCUACAGAGCAACAUUUGCUAUGACCCAGCCCGCAGCUGGAGGUGUGGCAUGAAGGGGCCCCAAACCAGAGGAAAAGAGCACAUUGAAAUGCACUACAGAAUCCUUAAUAAUUGCUAACAGCCUCUUCUACCACGCUGUGCUUGCCUGGAAUGGAAGAGGUCACAGACUGAACCCACUGAAAAUGCAAGCCAAGAUAAACUUCUCCUCUUU